rnacentral:rRNA from 1 species
GACGAACGCUGGCGGCGUGCUUAACACAUGCAAGUCGAACGGAAAGGCCCUGCUUUUGUGGGGUGCUCGAGUGGCGAACGGGUGAGUAACACGUGAGUAACCUGCCCUUGACUUUGGGAUAACUUCAGGAAACUGGGGCUAAUACCGGAUAGGAGCUCCUGCUGCAUGGUGGGGGUUGGAAAGUUUCGGCGGUUGGGGAUGGACUCGCGGCUUAUCAGCUUGUUGGUGGGGUAGUGGCUUACCAAGGCUUUGACGGGUAGCCGGCCUGAGAGGGUGACCGGCCACAAUGGGACUGAGAGACGGCGCAGACUCCUACGGGAGGCAGCAGUGGGGAAUAUUGCACAAUGGGCGGAAGCCUGAUGCAGCAACGCCGCGUGCGGGAUGACGGCCUUCGGGUUGUAAACCGCUUUCGCCUGUGACGAAGCGUGAGUGACGGUAAUGGGUAAAGAAGCAACGGCUAACUACGUG